UACGUAGGGUGCAAGCGUUAAUCGGAAUUACUGGGCGUAAAGCGCGCGCAGGCGGUUGUGCAAGUCAGAUGUGAAAGCCCCGGGCUCAACCUGGGAAUUGCAUUUGAGACUGCGUAGCUAGGGUGCGGAAGAGGGAAGCGGAAUUCCGGUGGAGCGGUGAAAUGCGUAGAGAUCGGAAAGAACACCAACGGCGAAAGCACUCUGCUGGCCGACACUGACACUGAGAGACGAAAGCUAGGGGAGCGAAUGG
rnacentral:rRNA from 1 species